rnacentral:rRNA from 1 species
GUAUAGUUCUUCGGAAUUAGAGACCGGCGCACGGGUGCGUAACGCGUAUGCAAUCUACCUUUCACAGAGGGAUAGCCCAGAGAAAUUUGGAUUAAUACCUCAUAGUAUAUAGAGAUGGCAUGAACAUAAUAUUAAAGUCACAACGGUGAAAGAUGAGCAUGCGUCCCAUUAGCUAGUUGGUAAGGUAACGGCUUACCAAGGCGACGAUGGGUAGGGGUCCUGAGAGGGAGAUCCCCCACACUGGUACUGAGACACGGACCAGACUCCUACGGGAGGCAGCAGUGAGGAAUAUUGGACAAUGGGCGCAAGCCUGAUCCAGCCAUGCCGCGUGCAGGAUGACGGUCCUAUGGAUUGUAAACUGCUUUUAUACGAGAAGAAACAACUCUACGUGUAGAGUCUUGACGGUAUCGUAAGAAUAAGGAUCGGCUAACUCCGUGCCAGCAGCCGCGGUAAUACGGAGGAUCCAAGCGUUAUCCGGAAUCAUUGGGUUUAAAGGGUCCGUAGGCGGUCAGAUAAGUCAGUGGUGAAAGCCCAUCGCUCAACGGUGGAACGGCCAUUGAUACUGUCUGACUUGAAUUAUUAGGAAGUAACUAGAAUAUGUAGUGUAGCGGUGAAAUGCUUAGAGAUUACAUGGAAUACCAAUUGCGAAGGCAGGUUACUACUAAUUGAUUGACGCUGAUGGACGAAAGCGUGGGUAGCGAACAGGAUUAGAUACCCUGGUAGUCCACGCCGUAAACGAUGGAUACUAGCUGUUGGGAGCAAUCUCAGUGGCUAAGCGAAAGUGAUAAGUAUCCCACCU